rnacentral:lncRNA from 1 species
GUGUUCUGGCCAGACUUCCGUACUAUCCCAAAGCAUCUCCCUGCGCUCUUGUACCAACUCUGGAUCCUCCAGGUACCCCUGCGCUUGCUUUUUACCUCUGUGGCAACGAUUGCUUCCCUUGUCCAUUCUCCUUGCUAAUACCACUGGGACCUCAUGUCGGAUAGUAAUCUCCCCCUGUCCUGGACACUCCCCUCCAAUCGUAUAGGCCCUCCCAGUCUUAGUUUCCCCACAGCAUCUCCUUGUUUUUCCCUUGGAAACCUCUGAGAGUUUUCCUCCAUUUUUUCUUCUAGCGUCAAAGCGUCAUCCCUUUGAAUCUAGCAUCCCAAUAGAAAUCAAAUUUUUCCGCAGAUGGAACAUGUCUUACCUCAGUCAACGUCACUACCUACCGUCUGACAUGCGGAACCGACUGAUCUCUGCCAACAACCCUGCUAGCGUGUUGUUCGCCAUCCAUAACGUCCCUCGCAUGAAUGCAUAUGUAAGAGAACACCUCUCAGCUCUGUCACAAGUGGUAAGCACGCCUGACAUCAAUAUCCAAUCUGACUUUCCAUCAUCCGUGCUGCAGGAGAACAUCAACUCAUCCUCAUCCUCAGCCUUACUGCUGUCGCUUCUGUAUCUGAAGACUGAGCCUGUCUUUAUCUUUGGAACAAUCCCUCUUGAUUAUGCCCUCCUGGUGCGCAAUAAAAGCACCUAACAUGGCGACCUCCUCGCUUGUGACCUCCCCCGUCCUUUCCAGUACCCUCUUCUUACCUCUUCCUUUACCUCUUCCGGUCUUUCCCUGCUCCUUCUGGACUAAGUCCUGCACUCACUCUGAUCUGUCGACCCAUCUCUCUCCUCGAGCCUCUUCAUUGAACAGGCAUCCAUGACCAUACUCGUAGUCAACUUCCCAUUCGGCGCUGAAUUUCUGAAGAAACCACCAAUGUCUCCCAAUCUCUGGCAAGGGAACUCAGAAGCAAUAAGGCAUGCACCUCGUCCGUCAAACUGUAGUUCAACACUGGUCCACUGAUUGACCAAACUCGAACUCGCUCGGUGUUUCCGCCACUUAGUUCUCCCUCCGAAGCUUCAAUUCAAAGCCUCCUCAUCAAUCAGGCUUUGUUUCGGAGAUGUCUUCGACUGGACAUCUCCUCCAACUUGAUCCACAAAUCAUAAUCCACUCGUCUUCCUGUGCUACAUGAUGGAACACCUCGUGUCGAAUGCCUGUCUGAUUGGGCCCAAUCGUCGUCCUGUUCAUCUUCUUCCAUUCCUCAUCUUCUUCGCUACGGUUUUUCUCCUUUAUUCUCUAAUGGGUCGUGCAAAUCCUUGCAAAAUUGAAUGGUUCUCCAUCCUAGGUUUUUCCAUAUGGGCAUAAUUUCGUCGUGCUGAAAUUACAUCAUCGAACCCAAUUAGCUCCGCCAUCUUACUUCUCCCAAAUAGAAGCAAAAUCUCUGAAACCAACCCCGCGGAUGAAUUCGGAAUGCGAGAAACCUCAGGAAGGGCUAAACUGUCAAAAUCAGAAAACUUCUGGGACCGAAACUAUCAAAUUAGAAAGUUCUUGGGGGCCAAUCGACAACAUUAAAUUUCUGGGGCCCAAUUGACAAAAUCCGAAACUCCUGGGACCAUUGAAAAUACUCGAAACUUUCAGGGACUAAACUGUAAUUACUUAAAACUUCAGGGACUAAACUAUAAUAAUGAAACUCUAGGGACCAAUCUAUAAUUACCCCAAAUCCCAGGGACUAAAAGUGUAAUUUACCCGGUCCAAAGCUAACGUGGCUGGUCAACGUUCAACAUGUCAAAGUCAAUUGUCAAUGGUUGACUGGAGUGACGGGCGAGUGGCUGAGACUAAUCUCACUCGCCCGCUUAUUCAAAACGACUCGUGAGGGCGCUUCCGAAAUCCGUUUUCAACGCGGUUUGGUGCUGGAGCUCCGGAUCGACGAGAGAAAACAACUUGGUGAAAUCAAAAUUAAUUUGAGCACUUCCCGACACCCGAAUUUCGACCUGGCCCGAACGCCUCCACCUAGGCGCUGAUACCAAUUGUUGUGCUCAAAACUAAUUACGGGAUCACACAACACAAAAGGACAAUAAAGAUUUACGUGGUUUCGGCAACGAUGCUACGUCCACGGAGAGAAAAUCACAAUCUACUAUAAAACGAAUGGAUUACAACGGAGGAGACAGAUCGCUCAACUCCACACCAUCUCUCACCAAGUUCUCUCUGUCUUGCCGAUAAUCCACCUCACAGCAAUACUUUUUUUUUCUUUUUUUUCCUCUCAGCCCACAACACAAUACACGUAGAAAAUAAAGCACCAUACUAUCCCUUUUAAAGGACCAAGGGAAGAAGGUAUUGACUCCUAAUAGAAUACCUAAUCAUUCUCCUAAUUAAUUAGGAAAACAAAAGAUAAAGACUCUCCAAGAGUUCUAGAUACACUCGAGAGUUUCACUGUCACAUGGACAACUCCAAUGAAUCCUACCGGGCUUGGGGGGGGGCUUGGCUACUGGACUUGGACUAAAUCAGGUGGGAAUUGGACUC